UACGGAGGGUGCAAGCGUUGUUCGGAUUCACUGGGUAUAAAGGGUGCGUAGGCGGCCUUGUAAGUCAGAGGUGAAAGCUGCCGGCUUAACUGGCAAAUUGCCUUUGAAACUGCGAGGCUUGAGUCCGGGAGAGGAAGGCGGAAUUCCUGGUGUAGCGGUGAAAUGCGUAAAUAUCAGGAGGAACACCGGUGGCGAAGGCGGCCUUCUGGUCCGGUACUGACGCUGAGGCACGAAAGCCAGGGGAGCAAACGGG
rnacentral:rRNA from 1 species